UUUUGGUAUAGUAGUUGUGACUUAUUCACACUAUAUACAUUUGGCUUCCGCAACAAUUCUAAACUAUAGGAAAAAACCCUUUGGGACUAAUCUUGGCUCCCACAAUAUAACUUAUGGAUGAAGAAUUUUACCAGUUUGCUGUUGUAUUUGAUGCGCAAUAUGUUUGAUAGAGAAGCAGACGUUGUUGUUGGGACACCUGGUCGCAUUAUUGAACUCCUAAUGAAGGACUAUUUUAGUGUUUAUGGUAAAGCUGAUCAGAUGCUUUAUGUGGGUUUGCAAAGGAUGUUGAAAUCUAGAAAAUAUUACGUAGAAAUUUCAGAUAAUAAUGUUUUCAGCCAUAAUGUCAAGUUGGAUACUACUUACUAAGAAUUACUAACAAGCUCUUGAGUAGCAAAAUCACGAGAGCUGUCUUAUUUUUAUUUUUGCUGAGUACCCUGUAGGUUUUUUAUUUGCUAAGUUAUUAUGCGUAUAUAUGUGUGCAGGUAGGAAUUUUGAUGAGAAGUUAGCUGAUAGCAUUUUCUUAUAUUUAAUUGCUUGUGAGAUGCAUUAGAAACCGGUAGUCCUUGGACCUUUAAUAUCAGCAUGAAUCUAUUAUUUAUAGUGGAAUUGAGACCAGUUUAGUAGUUAAUUUUUUCUUUUUGAGGAAGCUUAUUUAUAGUGGGAGGCACCAUAUAGACUUUAGAAGAACAAAAGAUUAGGAUACAAUAAGACAGAAUUGAUAUCGAGGAUUAAUAUAAGCAUCUGAGUUGGGGAUCGAAGCAUAGUGGAUUAAAUUGUUUUUUACUGUAAAAGUUUGUUAUUUACUAAUUAUGAUGGCUAAACUAUAUUAGAUAUAGAUUUUUGGGUUAUGUUGCUCGGACUUUCUAAAAAUGCUGUUGCAUAUCCUCCAAAAAUCAACUAAUAUUAGAGGAUCCAACACACGCCCGACUGUAUUUUUAAAGAGAUCAAGUAACAUAAUUUUUUAUUACAUUGUUUCAUAUUUGGGAGGCACUGUAUGAACUUUAAGGGGAAUCAAGUUUCAUUUUCUUUGUGAACUUAUAUGUUUAAGUUCGACGCUAACGAAAAUGUUGUUAUUUGCCUGUUGGUGAAGAUGGGUUACAAAAUUAGAUAUUGUUCUGCUUGGAAUGAAUUGCUGUAAAUUAAACUGUUCUCAUUGUGAAUAAUUGAGUUUCUUGAUUUGGUAGCCGAUUAGCUAUCGGACUGAAACCGUUGGCGCUUAUUAUUCGGGGUAUGCCUAUGGGAGCAUUCUUUGCAUGUUUAUCCAUAUCUUUACUUGUGUUUAUCAUUUGAAUUUGUUUUUGAUAUCAGUAAUUAAAUCAAUCAUCGUACGCAAAUCUCUAUUACAUUUUGUAUGUUAUACUAUUCGGUAUAUAUGUCACAUUUGUCGUCUUUGUUGCAUGAUGCUAUACGUAAAUCACAGAAAUUCACUCAGUCUGUGUAUCUAUGUGUACGUGGUGUGUGGAUGAUCCAUUUGCGAGGGGUCAGCAAAGUUUUUUAGAAAGGGAUAUAUCAGGGUCGCAACACGGUGAACUUAGCAUCAGUUUAAUUGCUACAAGUUAUGCUUAAUCUAGAAGAUCAAGCCAAGCAACAAAAUCUAGGGAGUUGGAGCAGGGCGCUUUCAUUUAUAUUUUCAUUCUCUCUGAUUUUUGUUAAACCACUGGACAAGUAUUACUACCGUAACAAAAUUUCCAUUGAAGCUGCAUUUUUUAUGGGGAUGGGGUGGCUGAAAAUAAAAAGUUGUCAUACUACUAUGUGUAUAUACGCCUUUUAUUCUUUUGUAAGACUUGUGUAUCUUUUGUUGUUCAAAAGACACAGAAUUUUGCUCUUA